UACGGGGGGGGCAAGCGUUGUUCGGAAUUACUGGGCGUAAAGGGCGCGUAGGCGGCCUGCUAAGUCACACGUGAAAUCCCUCGGCUCAACCGGGGAACUGCGUGUGAUACUGGCGGGCUUGAAUUCGGGAGAGGGAUGUGGAAUUCCAGGUGUAGCGGUGAAAUACGUAGAGAUUGGGAAGAACACCAGUGGCGAAGGCGGCUAUCUGGACGGUUUCUGACGCUAAGACGCGAAAGCGUGGGGAGCAAACAGG
rnacentral:rRNA from 1 species